UGGCACUCCAGAUGUUUUGGACUACACCUCCCAUGGUGCUUUGCCAGCAUUAUGAGGGAUGUAGUCCACAACAUCUGGAGUGCCG
rnacentral:miRNA from 1 species